rnacentral:rRNA from 1 species
UACAGAGGUGGCGAGCGUUAUUCGGAAUUAUUGGGCGUAAAGGGCGCGUAGGCGGCCAAGUAAGUCCCGGGUGAAAUCCCUCGGCUCAACCGAGGAACUGCCUUGGAAACUGCAUGGCUUGAGGCCGGGAGAGGGUAGCGGAAUUCCCAGUGUAGCGGUGAAAUGCGUAGAUACUGGGAGGAACACCGGUGGCGAAGGCGGCUACCUGGACCGGUUCUGACGCUGAGGCGCGAAAGCGUGGGGAGCAAACAGG